GACGAACGCUGGCGGCGUGCUUAACACAUGCAAGUCGAACGGAAAGGCCCUGCUUUUUUGGGGUGCUCUAGUGGCGACCGGGUGAGUAACACUUGAGUAACCUGCCCUUGCCUUUGGGAUAUCUUCAUGCAACUUGGGCUAAUACCGCAUAGGAUCUCCUGCUUCAUGGUGGGGGUGGGAAAGUUUCGGCGGUUGGGGAUGGACUCGCGUCUUAUCAGCUUGUUGGUUGGGUAGUGGCUUACCAAGGCUUUGACGGGUAGCAGGGCUGAGAGGGGGACCGGCCAAAUUAGGACGGGAAUAAGACCCAGACUAGUAUGGGACGCAGGGGUGGGGAAGAGUACAUAAGGGGAGGAGGGAAGGUGCGGCAAAGCAGUGUGCGGGAAGAGGGGAAGGGGGUAGGAAUGCAAUGUCGUCUGUGACGGAGCGAGAGUGACGGUAACGGGUAAAGAAGCACCGGCUAACUACGUG
rnacentral:rRNA from 1 species